UACGUAGGGUGCGAGCGUUAAUCGGAAUUACUGGGCGUAAAGCGUGCGCAGGCGGUUUGUUAAGACCGAUGUGAAAUCCCCGGGCUUAACCUGGGAACUGCAUUGGUGACUGCAUUGCUGGAGUAUGGCAGAGGGGGGUGGAAUUCCACGUGUAGCAGUGAAAUGCGUAGAGAUGUGGAGGAACACCGAUGGCGAAGGCGGUUCGUCUGGCCUUGACCUGACGCUGAGGAGCGAAAGCGUGGGGAGCGAACAGG
rnacentral:rRNA from 1 species